GCCGGGCGUGGUGGUGGCGCGCCUGUAAUCCCAGCUACUAGGGAGGCUGAGGCAGGAGAAUCACUUGAACCCAGGAGGCAGAGGUUGCAGUGAGCAAGAUCAUGCCACUGCACUCCAGCCUGGGCAACAGAGUGAGACUCUGUCUCAA
rfam:Pan troglodytes isolate Yerkes chimp pedigree #C0471 (Clint) chromosome 20, whole genome shotgun sequence.